rnacentral:antisense_RNA from 1 species
CUUGACCGACCCGAGCAGCAGCGGCCGUCCCGGCUCCCGGGCCGCCCCGUAGGUGGCGAACAGCGCCUGGGCCUC